rnacentral:lncRNA from 1 species
ACCACUGACUGCUACAGACACUCAAGCUGCUUUGCAAAAAUAAACCACCUUAUUUUUCUUCCCCUGAGUAGCACAGAAAGACAGGAGUCAAGGCUGACGCCUGAAAAGCAAACCUGUCUGUAUUUCAUAAUAAUAAGCCACAAGACCAGUGAUGUGAGAGUCUUUUGGGAGACCUGGAAGGAGGACUCUAAUUUUUGUAAUAUUUUAUUUUAUUUUAUUUUAUUUUAUUUUAUUUUAUUUUAUUUUACUUUAUUUUAUUCUUUAUAUUUCUUCCACUCCAUACAACAAAGAGCUUUGCUCUGGUUUAGCAAAGAACUUUUCAGGAUGGCAAAUGCUUAUGUUGUCUCUGCAGCUCUCCAGACCCUUGGAACAAGCCUGUCACACACUGACUCCCGGUGCUGCCAGGAGUGGGAUCGCCUGGUGCCAAGUCUUAACUUCUGUAUUAUCACUCUCCCGUGAUCUUGCAGACAUUCGCAGCUGUCACCAGCCGAGCACUGGUCCAGCUGGGACCUUUGCUGGCGGAUGAGGGUGGGACAAUUUUAUGCAUAAAGCCAAGAUCAGCAGUCGGUGCAGUAUCCAGAGACAGGCCAAACAGACUAUAUGCAGCAGAAAGAACGGUCUUCUUAAAAGCACAAGGCAGAUCACCAAGAACAAAAUUCAUAUAAAAAAUAGUGAAGAACAAGCUGACUUCACUCAGUAGGAAAGAAAGACAAGAGAAGUUUGGCGUGCUCAGUUUUUUUGGUUUGUUGUUUUUUGUUUUGUUUUGUUUUUCUGGGACAACACAUUGUCCACAUCCAUUUUGGACAAGGCCUCAGCUUUUAUCUUCCAGCUACACAUCUGGCCCCUGAGCAAUUUUCUGCCUCUCGAACAUUGUUCCUGAAGGAUAUUCCAACAUCAGACCAGCGGCAUGAACAGGGAUUAGAAAGACUGUGCGAAGGGAAAUCAGCUCCUGGUGCAUCCUGGUUUCAUUCAAGCUUCGUUGGCAGGACCUUUGCAGAAACUUCCUGCUUCCUUGCCAUGCUGCUGCAGGUCCGUUUCAAUUAAUGAGCAAGGCAGCAAGCUGUUGGUUGUAGCUCAGAGAGCUGAGUGGCAGCCAGAGAGAUACCUUCUCCUUGGAGGACCGAAAGCCGUUUGGUACUUGGCCAGCCAGCCAGCCAUUUCCAAAUGAAGCCUUUGAUGUCUAGGUGCUGAUUUUAAUCUAAGGGUUCAGCGGAGCUCUGUCACUUUGAGACCAAAAAUCACAGAAUUGCGGGGCUGGAGGGGUUGUCAGGAGAACACCUACUCCCGCCAUGCACUUGGCUCUCCUGUCAGAUAUAUGUCUGAUUUGGCCUUAAAAAUCUCCAAUCACAAGACUAAAAAGUCUCUGUAGGUGUUUUUCUGAAAUUCUGGAUCUUCCUAACAGUAAGAGUUGUUUCCUGAUGUCUAACCUUUAACACAAAUUAAACCCAUUCUUCCCAUAUCCUUAUGGGCGUAAUUCAUCAUAGUCUUUUACAGCGAUGUUUUAAGUACUGGGAGUCUUUCAUCGUGUCCCAUCUCAGGAUGGUUUUUUUUUGUUUUUAUUUUUUUUUUCUAGAUUAAAAGAAAGAAAGAAAGAAAAAAGCAGUUACUUGAUCCUUUUCUCAUAGGUCAUGUUUUCCAAAUUUCUCCUUGUUGGUCUGUUCUGGACCCUAUCCAAUUAGUCUCCAUCUCUCAUCAAGUGCACAGCCCCAGAGCAGACAUAGUACUCCAGUAAAGACCUCACCCACACUGAGCAAAGCUAAAAAAUUACCUCCUGUGGAUUACACAACACUGAUGUUAUUAGAUGCCAGUACAAAACCGUCUGUGUUUUUUUCUGCUUUCUUUACAACAUCUCGUUUUGUUUUUUUUCUUUUCUUAAUUCAAGAUUCGUCAGUCUUUAAAGACCCUUCACCAGCUUCAUCUCCUGUUCUGUAGUACUAAUUAAACCUGUUACUAAAUCAAGACCUAAACUGGAUGUAGAUCCAUGGAAAUUAAUGGUAUAAGUGUGGCAGCAGGAAUGGUGUAAUAAAAGCAGCAAGGAAUAGAGUCA